rnacentral:rRNA from 1 species
GUUCUGGGCCGCACGCGCGCUACACUGACGGAGCCAGCGAGUCUACCUUGGCCGAGAGGCCCGGGAAAUCUUGUGAAACUCCGUCGUGCUGGGGAUAGAGCAUUGCAAUUUUUGCUCUUCAACGAGGAAUUCCUAGUAAGCGCAAGUCAUCAGCUUGCGUUGAUUACGUCCCUGCCCUUUGUACACACCGCCCGUCGCUACUACCGAUUGAAUGGCUUAGUGAGGCAUCGGGAUGGAAAGAAAAGAGGGGCAACCCUCUCUUCUGUCUAAAACUUUGUCAAACUUGGUCAUUUAGAGGAAGUAAAAGUCGUAACAAGGUUUCCGUAGGUGAACCUGCGGAAGGAUCAUUAACAUUAAUUUACUACACACUGUUUUUUUACAACAAAACAAAUCUAUCUAAAAACAAUUUUUUUCCAGAAAUU